rfam:Anoxybacillus sp. BCO1 LR68_contig000015, whole genome shotgun sequence.
AAGCGAAUAUCAUUUGUACCGUAGACAGUAGGUGCCUCAAGCAGGCUUAAUUUCCUACCGAGGUGUUGAAACUGAUAAAUAAGUGCAUACGUGCACUUUCAGGGGCCUCCAUGUCUACGUUGACAUGGAGGUUUUUCAUUGGACGG